rnacentral:rRNA from 1 species
UACGUAGGGUGCAAGCGUUAAUCGGAAUUACUGGGCGUAAAGCGCGCGCAGGCGGUCAGAGGCGUCGGUGCUCAAAGUCCACCGCUUAACGGUGGGAGGCGUGCCGAUACGCUCUGACUGGAGGGCGGGCGAGGGUGGUGGAAUUGCCGGUGUAGUGGUGAAAUGCGUAGAGAUCGGCAGGAACACCAGUGGCGAAGGCGGCCACCUAGCCCGCACCUGACGCUGGAGGCGCGACAGCGUGGGGAGCGAACUGG